rnacentral:rRNA from 1 species
CCUACGGGAGGGCAGCAGUGGGGAAUAUUGGACAAUGGGGGCAACCCUGAUCCAGCGACGCCGCGUGUGUGAAGAAGGCCUGCGGGUUGUAAAGCACUUUUAGUGGGGAGGAAGGUCUGCGACCUAACACGUCGUGGAAUUGACUUAACCCACAGAAAAAGCACCGGCUAACUCUGUGC